rnacentral:rRNA from 1 species
AACCACGGUAGGGUCAGCGAUAGGGGUGAAGUCGUAACAAGGUAGCCGUAGGGGAACCUGUGGCUGGAUCACCU